UACGUAGGGAGCAAGCGUUGUCCGGAAUCAUUGGGCGUAAAGCGCGCGUAGGUGGCUUCGUAAGUCCGUUGUGAAAGUCAAAGGCUCAACCUUUGAAAGCCGGUUGAUACUGUCGGGCUAGAGUCCGGAAGAGGCGAGUGGAAUUCCCGGUGUAGCGGUGAAAUGCGCAGAUAUCGGGAGGAACACCAAUGGCGAAGGCAGCUCGCUGGGACGGUACUGACGCUGAGGCGCGAAAGCGUGGGGAGCAAACAGG
rnacentral:rRNA from 1 species